rnacentral:rRNA from 1 species
CAGUCGCCGCGGUAAUACGAAGGGUGCAAGCGUUAAUCGGAAUUACUGGGCGUAAAGCGUGCGUAGGCGGUGAGUUAAGUCUGCUGUGAAAUCCCCGGGCUCAACCUGGGAAUGGCAAUGGAUACUGGCAAGCUAGAGUGCGUCAGAGGAUGGUGGAAUUCCCGGUGUAGCGGUGAAAUGCGUAGAGAUCGGGAGGAACAUCAGUGGCGAAGGCGGCCAUCUGGGACAACACUGACGCUGAGGCACGAAAGCGUGGGGAGCAAACAGGAUUAGAGACCCCCGUAGUCCCUGUCUCUUAUAC